AGAGUUUGAUCCUGGCUCAGAAUGAACGCUGGCGGCGUGCUUAACACAUGCAAGUCGAACGAGAAAGGGACUGCUUGCAGUCCCAAGUAGAGUGGCGCACGGGUGAGUAACACGUGGAUAAUCUACCUUCAAAUUCGGGAUAACUAUUCGAAAGAAUAGCUAAUACCGGAUAAAGUCCUUUUGACUUUGGUUGAAAGGAUGAAAGACAGCCUCUGCAUAUGCUGUUGUUUGGAGAUGAGUCCGCACACCAUUAGCUAGUUGGUGGGGUAAAGGCCUACCAAGGCGACNAUGGUUAGCUGGUCUGAGAGGAUGAUCAGCCACACUGGAACUGACACACGGUCCAGACUCCUACGGGAGGCAGCA
rnacentral:rRNA from 1 species